rnacentral:rRNA from 1 species
GACGAACGCUGGCGGCGUGCCUAAUACAUGCAAGUAGAACGCUGAAGGAGGAGCUUGCUCUUCUGGAUGAGUUGCGAACGGGUGAGUAACGCGUAGGUAACCUGCCUGGUAGCGGGGGAUAACUAUUGGAAACGAUAGCUAAUACCGCAUAACAGUAGAUGUUGCAUGACAUUUACUUAAAAGGUGCACUUGCAUCACUACCAGAUGGACCUGCGUUGUAUUAGCUAGUUGGUGGGGUAACGGCUCACCAAGGCGACGAUACAUAGCCGACCUGAGAGGGGGAUCGGCCACACUGGGACUGGGACACGGCCCAGACUCCUACGGGAGGCAGCAGUAGGGAAUCUUCGGCAAUGGACGGAAGGCUGACCGAGCAACGCCGCGGGAGUGAAGAAGGUUUUCGGAUCGUAAAGCUCUGUUGUAAGAGAAGGACGAGUGUGAGAGUGGAAAGUUCACACUGUGACGGUAUCUUACCAGAAAGGGACGGCUAACUACGUG